AUCAGUUAUCAGCAAGAGCUGGGACAGGAAAACAGAGAGAGAGAGAGAGAGAGAGAGAGAGAGAGAGAGCAAAAAUGAAUAACAUAACGGCAAGCGAGCUGGCGGGUUUUGGAGUUGGGGCUCUGCUCCUCUGUGCCACCAUUGCUGCCCCAAAGGUCGACGCUUUCAUCUCUGCCUCUCAGCGCAGGUAAGUACCCAUUUCCAAAAUUCAUCACAAAAGGCUUGUCUUUGACUCUUUCUAAUGUUUGAGUUCAUUUCAGCUCCAUUAUCUUCAUCAAGUUGUAAUUAGUUUCAAAGAAUUGGAUAAAUAUCCUUGUAAUGAAAUUUUUUCAUGUGGGUUAAAAAUCAAUUUCAAUUCAAUAAAACUCCAUUUUCAGUUUCUACUUGCUUGUGGGAUUUGUGUAUUAUGUAUUUGUGCAUUCUGAUUUAUGUGUGCUGUAUAUGAAUGAAUCCUUUGAAUAUUCAGUUCUUUGGGAAUGUGCAAGAGAUGUGGCAAUCUGAGGAUGAUAGCAUGCUCAAGAUGCAAAGGAGUUGGAUUAAUCAAAGAAGGUGGUGUGUUUGGUUUAAAUCUCAUUGAUGACUUCUAUGAAUCGGUUGGGGGUAGUGAUUCGAAAGUAAGAUCCAUUUCUUGCACCAACUGUAACGCUAGAGGUCAUUUUAGCUGCCCUGAUUGCUCUAAAACAUCUGUUUGAGUUUGUUUAAGUCAUCUAAAUUAAAAUUUUCUUACGCUAGUUGUGCUAUCUUAAAAUGAUUUAUCAAUGUCCAAUGAUAUAGAGCAAGGAAGUUUAUGAACCCACUUUAGACAGUAGAGACAUAUACAUUACAAAAUCGUUUUUAUGUUGAUAUCACAGAUAAUGUCAAUUCUAGAGACUGCAUAUUUAUUACCCUGCUCCCUAGCA
rnacentral:lncRNA from 1 species